rnacentral:rRNA from 1 species
UACGUAGGGUGCAAGCGUUGUCCGGAAUUAUUGGGCGUAAAGAGCUCGUAGGCGGUCUGUCGCGUCUGCUGUGAAAACUCGGGGCUUAACUGUGAGCUUGCGGUCGAUACGGGCAGGCUAGAGUUCGGUAGGGGAGACUGGAAUUCCUGGUGUAGCGGUGAAAUGCGCAGAUAUCAGGAGGAACACCGGUGGCGAAGGCGGGUCUCUGGGCAACAACUGACGCUGAGGAGCGAAAGCGUGGGGAGCGAACAGG